GUGGGGAAUAUUGGACAAUGGGGGCAACCCUGAUCCAGCCAUGCCGCGUGUGUGAAGAAGGCCUUCGGGUUGUAAAGCACUUUAAGCGGGGAGGAAGGCCUGAUGGCUAAUAUCCAUCAGGAUUGACGUUACCCGCAGAAUAAGCACCGGCAAACUUCGUGCCAGCAGCCGCGGUAAUACGAAGGGUGCGAGCGUUAAUCGGAAUUACUGGGCGUAAAGCGCGCGUAGGUGGUUUUGUAAGCGGAAUGUGAAAUCCCCGGGCUCAACCUGGGAACUGCAUGCCGAACUGCAAGGCUAGAGUAUAGUAGAGGGGUGUGGAAUUCCCGGUGUAGCGGUGAAAUGCGUAGAUAUCGGGAGGAACAUCAGUGGCGAAGGCGGCACCCUGGACUGAUACUGACACUGAGGCGCGAAAGCGUGGGUAGCGAACAGGAUUAGAAACCCCUGUAGUCC
rnacentral:rRNA from 1 species